rnacentral:piRNA from 1 species
UCCUUUUCACACUGUCGGAGGACAGUGGC